GACGAACGCUGGCGGCGUGCCUAAUACAUGCAAGUCGAACGCUGAAGGAGGAGCUUGCUUCUCUGGAUGAGUUGCGAACGGGUGAGUAACGCGUAGGUAACCUGCCUGGUAGCGGGGGAUAACUAUUGGAAACGAUAGCUAAUACCGCAUAAGAGUAGAUGUUGCAUGACAUUUGCUUAAAAGGUGCAAUUGCAUCACUACCAGAUGGACCUGCGUUGUAUUAGCUAGUUGGUGGGGUAACGGCUCACCAAGGCGACGAUACAUAGCCGACCUGAGAGGGUGAUCGGCCACACUGGGACUGAGACACGGCCCAGACUCCUACGGGAGGCAGCAGUAGGGAAUCUUCGGCAAUGGACGGAAGUCUGACCGAGCAACGCCGCGGGAGUGAAGAAGGGUUUCGGAUCGUAAAGCUCUGUUGUAAGAGAAGAACGAGUGUGAGAGUGGAAAGUUCACACUGUGACGGUAGCUUACCAGAAAGGGACGGCUAACUACGUG
rnacentral:rRNA from 1 species